rnacentral:rRNA from 1 species
UACGUAGGGUGCGAGCGUUAAUCGGAAUUACUGGGCGUAAAGCGUGCGCAGGCGGUUCGUUGUGUCGGCGGUGAAAGCCCCGGGCUUAACCUGGGAAUGGCCGUUGAAACUGGCGAACUGGAGUGUGGCAGAGGGGGGUGGAAUUCCGCGUGUAGCGGUGAAAUGCGUAGAGAUCGGGAGGAACACCAGUGGCGAAGGCGGGUCUCUGGGCAGUAACUGACGCUGAGGAGCGAAAGCGUGGGGAGCGAACAGG